ACCUGGGUGGCUCAGUUGGUUAAGCGUCUGACUUCAGCUCAGGUCAUGAUCUCGUGGUUUGUGGGUUCGAGCCCCGUAUCAGGCU
rnacentral:tRNA from 1 species